AGGGAUGUGCUCACUUCCACAUCAUUAAAGCUGGAAUGAUACAGAGAAGUUUAGCAUGGCCCUGUGUGGGGAAGACAUAAACUAAUGAAGUGUUUUGUGUUUUU
rnacentral:snRNA from 1 species